UACGGAGGGGGCGAGCGUUGUUCGGAGUGACUGGGCGUAAAGAGCACGUAGGCGGUGUUGUAAGUCAUUAGUCAAAGACUAGAGCUCAACUUUAGUAAGGCUAGUGAUACUAUAAUACUAGAGUAUCAGAGAGGAUUGCAGAAUUCCUGGUGUAGCGGUGAAAUGCAUAGAUAUCACGCAGAACUCCGAUUGCGAAGGCAGCAUACCGGCGCCCAACUGACGCUGAAGCACGAAAGCGUGGGUAUCGAACAGG
rnacentral:rRNA from 1 species